rnacentral:piRNA from 1 species
UAUUGUAUCCAUAUAUCCCAAUCGG